rnacentral:tRNA from 1 species
AAGAAUUUAAGUUAAUAAAACUAUUAACCUUCAAAGUUAAUUUUAGGAGCCACCCCCUAAUUCUUA